CCUACGGGUGGCAGCAGUGAGGAAUAUUGGGCAAUGGCCGGAAGGCUGAACCAGCCAAGUAGCGUGAGGGAAGACUGCCCUGUGGGUUGUAAACCUCUUUUAUGCGGGGAUAAAGGGGGCCACGUGUGGAUGUUUGCAGGUACCGCAUGAAUAAGGACCGGCUAAUUCCGUGCCAGCAGCCGCGGUAAUACGGAAGGUCCGGGCGUGAUCCGGAGUUAUUGGGUUUAAAGGGAGCGUAGGCCGGUCUUUAAGCGUGCCGUGAAAUUUUGUGGCUCACCCAUGAGAGUGCGGCGCGAACUGGAGACCUUGUGUGCGCUGCCGGCAGGCGGACUUCGUGGUGUAGCGG
rnacentral:rRNA from 1 species